rnacentral:rRNA from 1 species
CCUACGGGAGGCAGCAGUGGGGAAUAUUGCACAAUGGGGGGAACCUUGAUGCAGCAACGCCGCGUGGGUGAAGAAGUACUCCGGUAUGUAAAGCCCUGUCAGCAGGGAAGAAAUUGACGGUACCUGACCAAGAAGCCCCGGCUAACUACGUGCCAGCAGCCGCGGUUAUACGUAGGGGGCAAGCGUUAUCCGGAUUGACUGGGUGUAAAGGGGGCGUAGACGGGAAGGCAAGUCUGGAGUGAAAGCCCGUGGCCCAACCACGGGACUGGUUUUGAAACUGUGUUGCUGGAGUGCAGGAGGGGUAAGCGGAAUACCUAGUGUAGCGGUGAAAUGCGUAGAUAUUAGGAAGAACACCGGUGGCGAAGGCAGCUUACUGGACUGUAACUGACGUUGAGGCUCGAAGGCGUGGGGAGCAAACAGGAUUAGAUACCCCUGUAGUC